rnacentral:pre_miRNA from 1 species
CAUAUACUCCCUCCGUUCCAAAAUAGAUGACUCAAUUUUGUACUAAAGUUAGUACAAAGUUGAGUCAUCUAUUUUGGAACGGAGGGAGUAUGUA